AAUUAUAAUUUCGAUUAUAAUAACGGCUAUUUAAAUGAUCCAUGAAACGAUAAGUUUAUUUUUUCAAAAAUUAAUUUAAUCGUACCGAUAACCGCAUCAGGUCUCCAAGGUGAGUAGCUUCUGGCCAUUGAGUAAUGGUAAUUUAGGGAAUUCGGCCAAUUAGAGCUGUAACUUCGGGAUAAAGCUUGGCUCUGAUGGAAAUCAGAACCGAUAGUUACAAGGAGAGCCCAACUGUUUAAUAAAAACUUAGUGUCGCGUCAUACCUUUAUAAGUAAUAAACGUGACAUGAAUCCUGCUCAGUGCUGUGUUUGUUAAACUGGAUUAAUCCAUUUAAGCGCCGGUAAAUAGCUGGGGUAACUAUGACUCUUAUCAAAGUAGCGAAAUACCUCGUCACUUAAUUAGUGACCUGCAUGAACGGAGCUAUGAGGUUCUCACUGUCCCAAAUUAUCACUCAGCGAACCAACAGUUGUGGGAACGGGCACAAAUUAUCCAGCGGGGAAAGAAGACCCUGUAGAGCUUCACUUUGGUCUAAUCUUGUAUAGUUUCGUUAGGGGUGCAGUCUAGGUGGGAGAUUUUUAAUCAAAUAUGAGAAACCACUACCCUUUCUGGAAUUAUACUUACUAAAAUUCUUUUCUAAAUUUUAGGAUCGGAUUAGAUAGAAAGUUUGGCUGGGGCGGCACACCUUCGAAAAAGCAGCGAAGGUGUCCUAAGUUAAGCUCAGUAAGGACAGAAAUCUUACGUUGAGGAUAAGGCCAAAAGCUUAAUUUACUGUGCCUUUUUGUACUAGGAUCAGUUUGGAAACAAAGGCCUAACGAUCCCUAAUUAGUCUUAGGUGUGUAAGACUUGGGGUGACAGACAAGUUACCUCCGGGACAACUGGCUUGUGGCUGCUAAGAGAUCAAAUCAACGCAGCUUUUUGAUUCUUCGAUGUCGGCUCUUCCUAUCCUAGUGAUGUACAAGUCACUAAGGGUUGGAUUGUUCACCCGUAUUAGGGAUCGUGAGCUGGGUUUAGACCGUCGUGAGCCAGGUUUGUUUUAUCCUACUGGAUAUAAUUUAGCAUCUUGAUAGUAGUUUGAUUUAGUACGAGAGGAACUGUUGAAUAUGGUCUCUGGUUUGGGAAUUUUAUGAAAAU
rnacentral:rRNA from 1 species